rnacentral:rRNA from 1 species
CCUACGGGAGGCUGCAGUGGGGAAUAUUGGGCAAUGGGCGCAAGCCUGACCCAGCAACGCCGCGUGAAGGAAGAAGGCUUUCGGGUUGUAAACUUCUUUUAAGAGGGAAGAGCAGACGACGGUACCUCUUGAAUAAGCCACGGCUAACUACGUGCCAGCAGCCGCAGUAAUACGUAGGUGGCAAGCGUUUACCGGAUUUAAUGGGGGUAAAGGGCGUGCAGCCGGGAAGACAAGGCAGGUGUGAAACUCCGCGGCUCAAACGCGGAACUGCAUUUGAAACUGUUUUUCUUGAGUACCGGAGAGGUCAUCGGAAUUCCUGGUGUAGCGGUGAAAUGCGUAGAUAUAAGGAAGAACACCAGUGGCGAAGGCGGAUGACUGGACGGCAACUGACGGUGAGGCGCGAAAGCGUGGGGAGCAAACAGGAUUAGAUACCCGUGUAGUC